rnacentral:rRNA from 1 species
GAUGAACGCUGGCGGCGUGCUUAACACAUGCAAGUCGAACGGUGAAGGUCCAGCUUGCUGGCGUGGAUCAGUGGCGAACGGGUGAGUAACACGUGAGCAACCUGCCCCUUAGUCUGGGAUAACAGCCGGAAACGGCUGCUAAUACCGCAUAUGCACCAUUAACGCAUGAUCUUUGGUUGUAAAGAUUUUUCGGUUGGGGAUGAGCUCGCGGCCUAUCAUCUUUUUGGUGAGGUGAUGGCUCACCUAGGCGUCGACGGGUAGCCGGACUGAGAGGGUGACAGGCCACACUGGGACUCAGAAAGCGGCAAGACUGAUACGGGAGGCAGGAGUGGGGAAUAUUGCACAAUGGGCGGCAGGAUGAUGCAGCAACGCCGGGUGAGGGAUGACGGUCUUCGGGUUGUAAACAUCGUUUAGCAGGGAAGAAGCGAGAGUGACGGUACCUGCCGAAAAAGCGACGGCUAACUACGUG